rnacentral:rRNA from 1 species
CCGUGUGUGAGAUGUUGGGUUAGUCCGCACGAGCGCAACNUGUCUUAGUUGCCGGCAUUCAGUUGGGCACUCUAAGGAGACUGCCGGUGUUAAACCGGAGGAAGGUGGGGAUGACGUCAAGUCCUCAUGGCCCUUAUGUCCAGGGCUACACACGUGCUACAAUGGCCGGUACAAAGGGUAGCGAGACCGCAAGGUUGAGCGAAUCCCAAAAAGCUGGUCUCAGUUCGGAUUGGAGUUUGCAACUCGACUCCAUGAAGUUGGAAUCGCUAGUAAUCGCGGAUCAGCAUGCCGCGGUGAAUACGUUCCCGGGCCUUGUACA